GACGAACGCUGGCGGCGUGCUUAACACAUGCAAGUCGAACGGAAAGGCCCUGCUUUUGUGGGGUGCUCGAGUGGCGAACGGGUGAGUAACACGUGAGUAACCUGCCCUUGACUUUGGGAUAACUUCAGGAAACUGGGGCUAAUACCGGAUAGGAGCUCCUGCUGCAUGGUGGGGGUUGGAAAGUUUCGGCGGUUGGGGAUGGACUCGCGGCUUAUCAGCUUGUUGGUGGGGUAGUGGCUUACCAAGGCUUUGACGGGUAGCCGGCCUGAGAGGGUGACCGGCGACAUUGGGACUGAGAUACGGGCCAGACUCCUACGGGAGGGAGCAGAGGGGAAUAUUGUACAAUGGGCGGAAGCGUGAUGCAGCAAAGCGGCGCGUGGGAUGUCGGCGUUCGGGUUGUAAACCGCGUUUGCGUGUGACGCAGCGUGAGUGACGGGAAUGGGGAAAGAAGCACAGGCGAAAUACGUG
rnacentral:rRNA from 1 species